rnacentral:tRNA from 2 species
GCCCGGGUGGCGAAAAGGCAGACGCGAGGGACUUAAAAUCCCUUUCCGGCAACGGGGUGCGGGUUCGAUUCCCGCCCCGGGCA